rnacentral:rRNA from 1 species
CGGCGAACGGUCGCGUAACACGUAGGCAACCUGCCCGAAAGACCGGGACAACAUCUCGAAAGGGGUGCUAAUACCGGAUGUGACCCCGAGGAGACCUCUUCUUGGGAUUAAAGCAUUUAUGGCUUUCGGAGGGGCCUGCGGCCUAUCAGCUAGAUGGUGGGGUAACGGCCUACCAUGGCGACGACGGGUAGCUGGUCUGAGAGGAUGGUCAGCCGGACUGGGACUGAGAUACGGCCCAG